rnacentral:rRNA from 1 species
GACGAACGCUGGCGGCGUGCUUAACACAUGCAAGUCGAACGGAGUUACGUAUGAAGUAUUUCGGUACGGACUAUGUAACUUAGUGGCGAACGGGUGAGUAACACGUGGGCAACCUGCCCUUAACCGGGGGAUAACAUUGUGAAAACAGUGCUAAUACCGCAUAACAGAGUAUCGGGCAUCCGAUAUUUUUAAAAGGAGCAAUCCGGUUUUGGAUGGGCCCGCGUCCAAUUAGCUAGUUGGUGAGGUAACGGCUCACCAAGGCUACGAUUGGUAGCCGAACUGAGAGGUUGAUCGGCCACAUUGGGACUGAGACACGGCCCAGACUCCUACGGGAGGCAGCAGUGGGGAAUAUUGGGCAAUGGGCGAAAGCCUGACCCAGCGACGCCGCGUGAAGGAUGAAGGUCUUCGGAUUGUAAACUGCUUUUGUACGGAACGAAACGGUCUGCCCUAAUACGGCGGGCUAAUGACGGUACCGUAAGAAUAAGCACCGGCUAACUACGUGCCAGCAGCCGCGGUAAUCACGAG